GGACGCGCAUCUCUGCCGCACAGGACUCUACCAGGCUCCACCUCCACUCUCCCCCCACCCAGCGCCCGGAGGAGGAGGGGGAGGCCGCGGUGGCGGGGAGGUGGUGGGCUGGGCCUGGCUUAACCGGUCUCCCUGCCCCAGGGCGCUCUGGACCUGCAGACUGGGGCGAGGUGUGCAAGGCCAGGAUGGGGCGCGGGGAGCGGAAGGUUGGGGAGCACGGAGGGAAGUCGGCUGCCAGGAGCAGAGGGGAACGGCUUGCCAGCCCUGAAGGGAACAGGAGCCACCUGAGUGCAGGGCACCAGGGCCACAGGGAGGACACCUGGGCUUUGGGCCUGGCUUUGCCACUAAGCAGGAAGACCAAGCCAGGAUCAGAAGCUUGGAACUUUGGGCCUCAUGCCCUAUCUUCUGCAGUGGGAAGAGGGGCUGGAGAAUGAGUUAGUAAUUGAUCGUGCCUGCACGAUGAAGCCUCCAUAAAAAUCUCAAAGUGUAACUCAGAACCUCUGAGUUCCUGAACACAUGGAGGUACUGGGAGGGAGAUGUGCCCAAGAAGACCGGGAAACUCUGCACCCGUUCCUCACCUCGCCCUCCGCAUCUCUGCCAUCUGGCUGUUCCUGAGUCGUGUCCUGUGGUACUACUCUACGAAUGAAGGUGCAAAUUAUUGAACCCGAGAAGGGGGCCAGGGGACCCCGAUUUACAGCUGGCCGAUUGGAAGCACAGAAGACAGCUGGAUUCUCACAUCUGCUUCUGCAUUCAAUCAGUCGUGAAUUAUGUGUCAGCUCUUGUCGUCUGCCUCCGGGAAACCUCCCUGUAUGCCUGGAAGAAAAUGAGACUGGAAAAGAUGAUGAGGAAAAUAGCUUGACCUUGCAAUUGCCCUGAGCCUUGGGAGCCCACAUGGUCCUCAGACCAUGCUUUGAAAACUGCCGGCUUAGAAGACCCUGAUAUUUCCACCAGAUAUGACACUCGCUGGUCUUUCUGAGAAUGCUCUGUGCCAGUGUUUUUCAAAAUAGACCUCAGAGAAUCACACUCCCAGGAAUAAUUUCAUGGGAUGUUCCUGUAUGUGGGGAAAUGUGGUUUCUGUGAGUAAAGGAGUUUGAGAAGCCUUA